UCACCAUAUGAGCUUGUGGUCAAUUUACAAUCUGUUCACCACCCAAGCCCUCACAACUCUCCACACCUCUUUGUGGAGCUCUUGUCAAUGAAGCUGAAGAGAGGCUUGGCUCAUUCCAUGUCAGGGCUGUGGGUCUCCCAGACAAACUGACUCUCCAGCUCGUGGAUGUAGAGACUGUAUGGGAAUUUAGAUGUCUGUCAGGGGACUCAAAUGUCCUAAUCCUUCAUGAUGGUCCAGAACCUCUAGUGAAGAGUCACUACCCCACUUAGGCAGCCAGUUCAGCUGAUUUUCAGAGAGGUUUAAAUGUUUAAGGUGACUAAAACAAGGCAAGUCAAUAUUUAAAUUUAUCAGGCUAUUACCAUAUAAAUACAAACAUUCCAGA